GUAGGCAGGUUUCACUUCAAACCGAACAAAUCUUUCGCCUUUUACUAAAGAUUUCCGUGGAGGGGAAUACUAAAUGAGUCUAUAACCAAUUUUUCCAAGUUCUCGGCAUGCUGUUAU